GGUCAUAGAGUCAGCGAUCAUUCAUUACAUAUCAUGCUAAUAAAACACUACUAUAAAAGAAGCGUCAGUUCAGAUGCCCGCAGCAUCUCUCCUACACCGAGCUUCUGAAGAGGAAAGGAAACUCCAAGAAUAUGUACAUCUUCCUGUUCGCUCUUGCAGUGGGUCUUGCUUGUGCACAUCUCCCCAUCCUACCAGAACAGAUCAACGGUGAAUGGCGCACACUUUUCAUGGCGUCCGACAAUGUGGACAAAAUCGAAGAUGGGGCUGACUUGAAAGCCUUUCUCCGUCACUUUCAAUGUUUUCAGGGAUGCCGGAAGCUCUCUGCCAGGUUUUAUAUCAAGGAAGGAAAUUUCACCCUAAUUUAAAAGAACAAAACUCUUCCCAUGUGGCUCAGUGGCUAGGAUGAAAAGAAAUAAAAAUCAAGUCAAAUGAAAACUGUGUUGGAGAUACCGAGAUGGAGUUGUCAUCCUCAGAACUGAACAUGAUUUGUGAAUAAAUACAUGGUUGUGAGUCCAUUUCUAGAUCUUUAUCUAAGUCUACCUAUAUCUAUUUGCAUUGGCCAAG
rnacentral:lncRNA from 1 species